GACGAACGCUGGCGGCGUGCUUAACACAUGCAAGUCGAACGGAAAGGCCCUGCUUUUGUGGGGUGCUCGAGUGGCGAACGGGUGAGUAACACGUGAGUAACCUGCCCUUGACUUUGGGAUAACUUCAGGAAACUGGGGCUAAUACCGGAUAGGAGCUCCUGCUGCAUGGUGGGGGUUGGAGAGUUUCGGCGGUUGGGGAUGGACUCGCGGCUUAUCAGCUUGUUGGUGGGGUAGUGUCUUACCAAGGCUUUGACGGGUAGCCGGCCUGAGAGGGUGACCGGCAACAUUGGGACUGAGAUACGGCCCAGACUCCUACGGGAGGCAGCAGUGGGGAAUAUUGCACAAUGGGCGGAAGCCUGAUGCAGCAACGCCGCGUGCGGGAUGACGGCCUUCGGGUUGUAAACCGCUUUCGCCUGUGACGAAGCGUGAGUGACGGUAAUGGGUAAAGAAGCACCGGCUAACUACGUG
rnacentral:rRNA from 1 species